rnacentral:rRNA from 1 species
CCUACGGGGGGCAGCAGUGAGGAAUAUUGGUCAAUGGACGAGAGUCUGAACCAGCCAAGUAGCGUGAAGGAUGACUGCCCUAUGGGUUGUAAACUUCUUUUAUAUGGGAAUAAAAUGUUCCACGUGUGGGAUUUUGUAUGUACCAUAUGACUAAGGAUCGGCUAACUCCGUGCCAGCAGCCGCGGUAAUACGGAGGAUCCGAGCGUUAUCCGGAUUUAUUGGGUUUAAAGGGAGCGUAGGUGGAUUGUUAAGUCAGCUGUGAAAGUUUGCGGCUCAACCGUAAAAUUGCAGUUGAAACUGGCAGUCUUGAGUACAGUAGAGGUGGGCGGAAUUCGUGGUGUAGCGGUGAAAUGCUUAGAUAUCACGAAGAACUCCGAUUGCGAAGGCAGUUCACUGGACUGCAACUGACACUGAGGCUCGAAAGUGUGGGUAUCAAACAGGAUUAGAUACCCGAGUAGUC